UACGUAGGUGGCGAGCGUUGUCCGGAUUUACUGGGCGUAAAGAGCGCGCAGGCGGUCGUUCAAGUCGCGUGUGAAAGCCCCCGGCUCAACUGGGGAGGGUCACGCGAUACUGAUCAACUCGAAGGCAGGAGAGGGAAGUGGAAUUCCCGGUGUAGUGGUGAAAUGCGUAGAUAUCGGGAGGAACACCAGUGGCGAAGGCGACUUCCUGGCCUGUUCUUGACGCUGAGGCGCGAAAGCUAGGGGAGCAAACGGG
rnacentral:rRNA from 1 species